GGUUGAUCCUGCCAGUAGUCAUACGCUUGUCUCAAAGAUUAAGCCAUGCAUGUCUAAGUAUAAACACUUUUGUACUGUGAAACUGCGAAUGGCUCAUUAUAUCAGUUAUAGUCUACUCGAUAGUACCUUACUACUUGGAUAACCGUAGUAAUUCUAGAGCUAAUACAUGCAUACAUACCUAACCGCUUGUCUAGAGUUGGUUCGAGAUUUUGGAUCAUCUUCAUGAUGCUUGUCGGGAGGGUAGCAUUUAUUAGAUUGAAACCAAUGCAGUCAUAGACUGGUAUUGUGUUGA
rnacentral:rRNA from 1 species